GCUCAAAUUUGACAACUGGCUCCUUCGGGGUCCGCAUUGUAUUUUGCAGAGGAUGUUUCGGGAGCAGCCCCCAUCUACGUGUCCUGGAACAGACCGUCAUAGAGGGUGAGAAUCCCGCAUGGGAUGGGCUGUCUGCGCCCAUGUGAAACUCCUUCUACGACUCGAGUUGUUUGGGAAUGCAGCUCUAAAUGGGUGGUAAAUUUCUUCUAAAGCUACUUAUUGACCGGAGACCGAUAGCGCACAAGUAUAGUGAUCGAAAGAUGAAAAGCACUUUGAAAAGAGAGUUAAAAAGCUCAUGUAAUUGUUGAAAGGGAAGCGCU
rnacentral:rRNA from 1 species